GCACCCGUAGCUCAAUGGAUAGAGUAGCUGACUUCGAAUCAGUUGGUUGGGGGUUCGAGUCCCUCCGGGUGCG
rnacentral:tRNA from 1 species